ACGGAGGGGGUUAGCGUUGUUCGGAAUUACUGGGCGUAAAGCGCGCGUAGGCGGACCAGAAAGUAUGGGGUGAAAUCCCGGGGCUCAACCUCGGAACUGCCUCAUAAACUCCUGGUCUUGAGUUCGAGAGAGGUGAGUGGAAUUCCGAGUGUAGAGGUGAAAUUCGUAGAUAUUCGGAGGAACACCAGUGGCGAAGGCGGCUCACUGGCUCGAUACUGACGCUGAGGUGCGAAAGUGUGGGGAGCAAACAGG
rnacentral:rRNA from 1 species